UCCUGGGUGGCUCAAUCGGUUGAGUGUCUGACUUCAACUCAGGUCAUGAUAUCACAGUUUGUGUGUUCAAACCCCACAUCAGGCU
rnacentral:tRNA from 1 species